rnacentral:pre_miRNA from 1 species
UCUUUUGCAUGAGCAAAGAAAGUGGUUUCUUGAGAUUUAAUCUUCUUUUGGUGAAGAUUCUGUGAA